rnacentral:SRP_RNA from 1 species
UCUCGAUGGAGGGCCGGGUGCCGGGUCGUGGGCAGGCGAUAGGGGGUUGAACGGCGAUAGGGGCGAAGGACAGCAGCAGCAGCAGCAGCAGCAGCUGUGGAAGCGCGCGUCGGAACUGU